UACGUAGGUGGCAAGCGUUGUCCGGAUUUACUGGGCGUAAAGGGCGUGCAGGCGGUCUGUUAAGUGCAGGGUGAAAGCUCCCGGCUCAACUGGGAGAGGUCCUUGCAUACUGGCGGACUUGAGGGGGGUAGAGGAAAGUGGAAUUCCCGGUGUAGUGGUGAUAUGCGUAGAUAUCGGGAGGAACACCUGUGGCGAAGGCGGCUUUCUGGGCCCUACCUGACGCUGAUGCGCGAAAGCUAGGGGAGCAAACAGG
rnacentral:rRNA from 1 species